rnacentral:rRNA from 1 species
GACGAACGCUGGCGGCGCGCCUAACACAUGCAAGUCGAACGGAGCUUGAGAGAGCUUGCUUUCUUAAGCUUAGUGGCGAACGGGUGAGUAACGCGUGAGGAACCUGCCUCAAAGAGGGGGACAACAGUUGGAAACGACUGCUAAUACCGCAUAAGCCCACAGGUCCGCAUGGACCAGAGGGAAAAGGAGCAAUCCGCUUUGAGAUGGCCUCGCGUCCGAUUAGCUAGUUGGUGAGGUAACGGCCCACCAAGGCGACGAUCGGUAGCCGGACUGAGAGGUUGAACGGCCACAUUGGGACUGAGACACGGCCCAGACUCCUACGGGAGGCAGCAGUGGGGAAUAUUGCACAAUGGGGGAAACCCUGAUGCAGCGACGCCGCGUGGAGGAAGAAGGUCUUCGGAUUGUAAACUCCUGUUGUUAGGGAAAAAUCGGAUGGUACCUAACAAGGAAGUGACGGCUAACUACGUGCCAGCAGCCGCGGUAAAACGUAGGUCACAAGCGUUGUCCGGAAUUACUGGGUGUAAAGGGAGCGCAKGCGGGUAUGCAAGUUGGAAGUGAAAUACAUGGGCUCAACCCAUGAACUGCUUUCAAAACUGUGUAUCUUGAGUAGUGCAGAGGUAGGCGGAAUUCCCGGUGUAGCGGUGGAAUGCGUAGAUAUCGGGAGGAACACCAGUGGCGAAGGCGGCCUACUGGGCACCAACUGACGCUGAGGCUCGAAAGUGUGGGUAGCAAACAGGAUUAGAUACCCUGGUAGUC